UAUAACUCACAUGACAGCUGAGAUCACUAGCGACGUUCUUAUAACCUAACAUGGCCACAAGUAACCAAAACCUGUUUCCUUGGUCUCUGUUUUGCAUCCUUCUAGAAUUUUACUGUCACCUAAUUAUAUAAUUGUCUUUUUAUCCAGACCUCAGAGUUGGGUGUCACAGAACAUGUUGAAGGAGACCCUUGCAAAUUUGCACUGUGGGUGGGGAGAACACCAACUUCAGAUAAUAAAAUUGUCCUUAAGGCUUCCAGCAUAGAGAACAAGCAGGACUGGAUAAAGCAUAUCCGCGAAGUCAUCCAGGAGCGGACGAUCCACCUGAAGGGAGCCCUGAAGGAGCCCAUUCACAUCCCUAAGACCGCUCCCGCCACAAGAC
rnacentral:lncRNA from 1 species